rnacentral:rRNA from 1 species
ACUCCUACGGGAGGCAGCAGUGGGGAAUAUUGCACAAUGGGGGAAACCCUGAUGCAGCCAUGCCGCGUGUGUGAAGAAGGCCUUCGGGUUGUAAAGCACUUUCAGUAGGGAGGAAGGUAGUGUAGUUAACACCUGCAUUAUUUGUACGUUACCUACAGAAGAAGCACCGGCUAACUCCGUGCCAGCAGCCGCGGUAAUACGGAGGGUGCGAGCGUUAAUCGGAAUUACUGGGCGUAAAGCGCAUGCAGGCGGCCUGUUAAGUCAGAUGUGAAAGCCCGGGGUCUUAACCUCGGAAUUGCAUUUGAAACUGGCAGGCUAGAGUCUGUAGAGGGGUUAGAAUUUCGAGGUGUAGCGGUGAAAUGCGUAGAGAUC